UACAGAGGGGGCAAGCGUUAUUCGGAAUUAUUGGGCGUAAAGGGCGCGUAGGCGGUUCUUCAAGUCUCUCGUGAAAUCCCUCGGCUUAACUGAGGACGUGCGGGAGAUACUGAAGGGCUUGAGUCCGGAAGAGGGUGGUGGAAUUCCCAGUGUAGCGGUGAAAUGCGUAGAUAUCUACAGGAACUCCGGUGGCGAAAGCGGCGUGCUGGACCUUUUCUGACGCUGAGGCGCGAAAGCUAGGGGAGCAAACGGG
rnacentral:rRNA from 1 species